rnacentral:rRNA from 1 species
UGCCUUGGGUAGCUGUAAGUAAGCGAUGAUCCAGGGAUUUCCGAAUGGGGGAACCCAACAGGUACUACCUGUUACCCAUAUCUGUUAAGGAUAUGAGGAGGAAGACGCAGUGAACUGAAACAUCUAAGUAGCUGCAGGAAGAGAAAGCAAAAGCGAUUGCCUUAGUAGCGGCGAGCGAAACGGCAGGAGGGCAAACCGAAGAGUUUACUCUUCGGGGUUGUAGGACUGCAAUGUGGACUCAAAGAUUAUAGAAGAAUGACAUGGGAAGGUCAGCCAAAGAGAGUGAGAGCCUCGUAUUUAAAAUAGUCUUUGUACCUAGCAGUAUCCUGAGUACGGCGAGACACGUGAAAUCUCGUCGGAAUCUGGGAGGACCAUCUCCCAACCCUAAAUACUCUCUAGUGACCGAUAGUGAACCAGUACCGUGAGGGAAAGGUGAAAAGCACCCCGGGAGGGGAGUGAAAUAGAACCUGAAACCGUGUGCCUACAACAAGUUCGAGCCCGUUAAUGGGUGAGAGCGUGCCUUUUGUAGAAUGAACCGGCGAGUUACGAUAUGAUGCGAGGUUAAGUUGAAGAGACGGAGCCGUAGGGAAACCGAGUCUGAAUAGGGCGCUUUAGUAUUAUGUCGUAGACCCGAAACCAUGUGACCUACCCAUGAGCAGGU